ensembl:lncRNA
CCCACACCACAUGGUCUUUUUUACAAUUUCGAACGUCCGUGCGGACGUUGCCCAACUUACGUAUAACUAGAGAAUGACCAGGCCGCGACAUGAACAUGGCGACGUGUCGAUUAUGAGAUGGAUUUGAUCUACUCAUUACUCUUGUCUCUCUGUUUAGUUCAUGUCUGCGGUUCCUGAGCAGAUGUUGCUGCACUGCACGGUGCUGCUGGCCUGCAGGCUGGUGUCAGGUGAGCUGCCGCUGCGUUGCCCGGCGGGCGGUGACGGCGUCAGGACGCUGCUGGGGCAGCUGGCUGCGCUGCUGGGCAGCUGUUCCUCACCAGGCCCUCUGCAAAUGCUGUUCAGCUCCCCCACUCUCGCCGCCAUUUCCGCCACCACAGACUGGGAGGUGAGCAGGAAAUGAAACAUUCGGACCAAUCCAAAUAUGGUCAAUCAUUCCCUCAAUCAUUAUCCAUACUGUAAAGUAUAAUAAAGACUUGUCAGAAUCCCAGCCACAGUGUUGCCAGAUUGUCCAAAAAGGGUUCGGCUGCUACGAUAUCUAAAUUGCCCUGUGAGUCUGAAGACAUCAGUGCAGACUGAAGCUUAGCUAAACAUUUUUUAUUGUACAUGUAGAACUAAUAAGUGUAAUACAUAUGCAAAAAUGAGCCAAAUUAGAAAUUACCACCUAUUAACACUUUUUUUUUUUUUUUUUGCAAUUUGCUGCUUCAACCAACACAAUUUCAAAUACCAAUGCUGACCUUUAUUUUCUUCCCCCUCUCUCGCCACCCCAGCGGAACAACUUCCUGUUCUUGGUGCAGCUCCUACUGGACAAAGGACUUGUGCGUGUGGAGCAGGUGCUGUCUCUCACGCAGGCCAGCAGAGGGAGCCCUCACACCGCCCAGCUCUGCGCUUCACUCUCCAACAGCCUGGACUCACUAAACAUCGACCUGGACAACUGAUGUCCGAGCUGAUCAUACGUGAUUUAAAAUGAAAGCAGAUUUUGGGGUGUCAGGAAUAGCAGAGUCAUGUUUGUUGGGCGCCCUGCACGUUAGUUUAUCUGUUUUAUUGCAUAGGCAUAAUCCCACAUUUUAGCAAGAGUUUAGAAACGCUUUGUAAUAUUUUAUGAUGCCAUUUUAAAGUACCCAUGCACUUGGGUUUUGAUUUUUCUCCGCGCUUUGCCAUUGUUUAUCUGCAUAGACUCGGUAGCAUGAAUUGACAUGUAAAAGACAGUAAAUUAUCUGUCUUGUCUAAGAUCCGGUGAUUGCAUUCCAGAAUGGGAAUUUUUAAAUGCAAUACACUUUUCACUUGGUACUGACUGUCCUGCUUGAGGACAGGUCGAUUUUUUUAAUAAAUGUAUUUUGGUAUGCAUUUGUCAGAUUUUUAGUUCACGUUGGACUUUUAUAAUUGAAAUCUGUUGCUUUUACGACUGUGUUGUUGAGGCCUUUGAAAAAUUAUUAAAUGAAUAAAGCAAU